rnacentral:rRNA from 1 species
UAGGGAAUAUUGGUCAAUGGGUGCAAGCCUGAACCAGCCAUGCCGCGUGCAGGAAGAAGGCCUUCUGGGUUGUAAACUGCUUUUGCCAGGGGAUAAAAUUUCCUUGCGAGGAAAAUUGAAGGUACCUGGUGAAUAAGCCACGGCUAACUACGUGCCAGCAGCCGCGGUAAUACGUAGGUGGCAAGCGUUGUCCCNNNUUAUUGGGUUUAAAGGGUGCGUAGGCGGUUUUGUAAGUCAGUGGUGAAAUAUGUCAGCUUAACUGAGAGGGUGCCAUUGAUACUGCAGAACUUGAGUACAGAUGAGGUAGGCGGAAUUGACGGUGUAGCGGUGAAAUGCUUAGAUAUCGUCAAGAACACCUAUAGCGAAGGCAGCUUACUAGGCUGUAACUGACGCUGAGGCACGAAAGUGUGGGGAUCAAACAGGAUUAGAUACCCCUGGUAGUCCACACUGUAAACGUUGAUUACUCGCUGUGUGCGAUAUACAGUACGCGGCCAAGCGAAAGCGAUAAGUAAUCCACCUGGGGAGUACGCCGGCAACGGUG